rnacentral:rRNA from 1 species
GACGAACGCUGGCGGCGUGCUUAACACAUGCAAGUCGAACGAUGAAGCUAGAGCUUGCUCUGGUGGAUUAGUGGCGAACGGGUGAGUAACACGUGAGUAACCUGCCCCGAACUCUGGGAUAACUGCUGGAAACGGUAGCUAAUACCGGAUAUGACCAAUGAAGGCAUCUUCUGUUGGUGGAAAGAAUUUCGGUUCGGGAUGGACCCGCGGCCUAUCAGCUUGUUGGUGAGGUAACGGCUCACCAAGGCGACGACGGGUAGCCGGCCUGAGAGGGUGAUCGGCACACGGGGACUGAGACACGGCCCAGACUCCUACGGGAGGCAGCAGUGGGGUAUAUUGCACAAUGGGCGCAAGCCUGAUGCAGCAACGCCGCGUGAGGGACGACGGCCUUCGGGUUGUAAACCUCUUUUAGUAGGGAAGAAGCGAAAGUGACGGUACCUGCAGAAAAAGCACCGGCUAACUACGUGCCAGCCGCCGCAGUAA